AAUAGAUUGGUGCUUUCACAUAUUAUACGACACUCCCAGCGUCCAAAAACACGUUAAAACACCUUAAAAGGAUUUCAAACGCCCCAAAAUGGCCGCUGGAGCUCAAAACAGCCAACUGGGCCCAAAAUGCCGCUACAUCCGGUAAUAGUACCCAAGGCGACUUAAAUUGGGGUGGCGCACCACAAUCAUCCCAUGAAUUUUCCAGUGAUGCAUCCAAAAAACGCAAAUGCAGCCUAUGCCGACUGGAAGGUCAUAACCGAUUAAAAUGUCCACGGAAAUCUGAAUUUAAACUCUAGCUUGUCCAUUGCAAUUACUUGAAUCGUCACUAUGGACCCAUACUGUACCGCUGUUAUACGAAAUAUAUACAAUGUACAUUGUUCAUACAUGCAUAUCGUUGCCUUAAUUCACAAAGGCCCUAACUAACAGUUUUUUCGAAACUGCACUUUUCACAGAUUUUGGUAGGAUAUAUCAAAAUACACCUUCAAUCAAGAAUGUAAAGUGUUAGUAUCAAAAACAACGGAGUUGCAUGCCACUUCGUAAAAAGGGCUACCUGCUUUUGAUUUUCUUUUUAUAAGGUUUUUGGUUAGGACCUUUGUGAAUUCAUGUAACGAUAUGCAUCUUAAGUUCAUGCAUACCGUUCAUAAAGUCUUUUUUGUAUGUACAUCUUUUCUAAGAGACAAAUUAUUAUGGUAUCUAAGAUUUAAUUGUAGUAGCAAAAUGUAGAAAAUAUCGAAAAAUA